rnacentral:rRNA from 1 species
UACGUAGGGGGGCUAGCGUUGUCCGGAAUUAUUGGGCGUAAAGAGCUCGUAGGCGGUCUGUCGCGUCGGAUGUGAAAACCCAGGGCUCAACCCUGGGCCUGCAUUCGAUACGGGCAGACUAGAGUUCGGUAGGGGAGACUGGAAUUCCUGGUGUAGCGGUGAAAUGCGCAGAUAUCAGGAGGAACACCGGUGGCGAAGGCGGGUCUCUGGGCCGAUACUGACGCUGAGGAGCGAAAGCGUGGGGAGCAAACAGG